CUUCGCUUCCAGAGAGCAGCCCCAACCCGCCUCAUCCACUCCCCACCCACACCUUCCCUCAAGGAACGGGAAGCCUCUAAACCCUCGGCUCCAUCACAGGCUGAGAAGGGGAUUUCUCUCCCCACCCUCGUCCCCGUUGGAAUCCGCCUCCCCGCAAGACAAAGGGUUGUGAGCCCGCCUGGGGAUGAGGCCUCGUGUGGUGGAAGCUGCACUUAGCUUCGCGGGGCUGACAGCUUUGGCCCAGGGCGGUAUGUAAGUCUGGCUCGGCCCGGGACAGGGUCCAGCCAGGCCCAGCCUGGUGAAACCCAGGCCUGGGUGUGAGGGUGGUCCUAGGGAGUGAGUGAGGAGGUAAGGUGCCGGUCCAAGCGGUUACUGGUAUGUCUGGCAGGCGGGGGCUAUAGGCGAACAAAAUUGACCCUCACUUUAUUUUCCAGGUGGCAGUGCUCCCCUUUGGACUUUUCCUCUAGGUUCCGCGCUAACCUGUUCUGUGAGCUCAUUCUGCCCCCCCCUCCUCCCCUUCACUCUCUCGAGGUUACCCAUUCACUUAAAACAUUGCUUCUGGUACUCUGGUAAGCCGGGAAAGUUGUUGCCGUUGGAGUCGGUAUCUUGGUAACCGUGAAGAGGAGAGGCAGCCCCUGCUGAGACUCUGGGUGGGCGGGGUGGUGUUGCUUGCCAGUGGAGAGGGUGGGGAUUGAAUGUGCACCCUUGGGUGGGCCCGCAGCGACGGUACCAUCUAAAAGCUACGAAAAUGCCUCAUGGACGGUGGUUUGUUACUGUAGUGUUCAUCAUGGCGAUCUGAUGGCACCAGGAGAAAUGGAGCCCCUGGCCAGUGUGAGUCGUAGCGGUGCAGGAGGGGAGACCCUGGAGGAAAGAGCCCGUCUAAAUUGCUGUCUGCAGAGUGAAUUUCCAGAGGCUUAGGAGGAGGAAGUUCUCCAGUGGCAUGUUUCCAGGCCUUGCUCAGGAAGCCCUGUAUUCAGGAGGCCAUCCUUUAAGGUUUUCAUGAGCUUAUGAGGGGCAGUCUUUAAAAGGCCAAAGCAGAUGGAUCCGGGGCCAUCAGCAGAUGUGUUGCUUUGAGUGUUUGAUCCGGGAGCAACGAUCUCUGGGCACGUGAAUGUCAGCAGGCACGUUUCCUGGGUUGGAGGUUUCAGAUGCUGCCAUCUUCUAAAUUGAGUCUCCUGUCAUACUAGUGUGCCACGAACCUUGUUUCCAGAAGACUCUUAAGCUGUAGAACAUUUUAACGCUGAUGCCACAACUCAGAUGAUGCCUUGUAGAUGGAGCUUGCACAUGGAUCCCAGUGACCCUCACCUACCCACCUGCCUGCCUGUGCGUUUGUCGGAGGAGUUCUUAGUGUGAUAUAUAAUGUGUGUGGGAAAGCGUUCCAGAUUGAAAUGCAUUAGGCAAAUACCUAAAUGAAGCCAGCUGACUUAAAUCAAGCCAACUGGCGGGGUGGGGGUGGGGGUGGGGUGUCAUUGUGCUGUGCUAGGUGGGAGGGCGCGAGAUGGUCAUAUCCAGAUUGUGAUAAAAAUGGCAGGUUUAGUUUGGUCACUUGUUACCAGAAGGGAAUAGUCAGGGUACCGAUAGUAAUCUGUUCAUCUUGCUCUAUAUUCUUAACUUAUCUUAGUUGAUUAGAUUUCAGAGGAAUCUUCGUGUUCAAAGGGGAGGGCCCUGAGGUGAGGGGUUGAGGGGUGGGAAACAGCCUGGCGCGCUGGGGAGGGUGAGCUGAAGAGAAGGCUGUGAUUAGGUGUGGCUGGCGGAGGGUGGGAGGGGUAGGGAAAGUGGGUGGAAGGGAAUUGUCUGGAGAAAAGACCAGUAGGCAGAACUCGAGGGGAUAGAGCUCAAAGGCAAAGAGAAUGCUAGUCAAUAGUACAUUGUUAAUGAUAGUUAAAUUGUUACUUGAAGUUUCUACAGUGCUUCAAACUGCUAAGGGUGGGGAAGGCCAAAAGCAAAAUUGUUUUGCUUUGCUAUAAGAAGGGGAAGGCUGAAAAGGUAACUGAAACCUGGGUCUCAGUCUCUUGAAAGAUGGGUGUCAGGGACUUGCAUCAGCAGAUUAACAUCUUUCACUCCAUUGCAAAUUUCUUAAGUGGUUUAUCUGAAGGUGUGCAAUGUUCAGGGACUAGUUUCAGAAAAUACCCAAAUUGUGGGCUUUUAAAGUAUUUUGAGAUUUUGGUACGCACUUAGAUGCCCUCUUCUGAGUUUGUAACAUUUUUGUUCACUUGGUAUUUUGCAGAUGAAAGUUUGAGCAAAGUGAAAACACAAUGAUUUCUAAAGGAAUUUUGUAUGUUACUUCUUGGCUCUAGAAACAUCUUUUCUUUGUGAUGAGUAAUUAGUAAUAGCCAAAGCUUUUUCUUUUCAUCCUCAUGUAACAAGGAGAACUUAAAUCAUGAUCACUAAUUACUGUAAUACUUGGUAGCAAACAAUCUGUGUACCCUUGCUAAGGUUCCAGUUAAUAGUUCACACCAUCUUCAGUUUGAAUGUUUGUGUUAAGUGAAGGAGUACUAGAGGGGAAACUUAACCAAAAUCAGGUAGGGAAAUAAAGAGUAAAACUGGGGGUGGGGAGUUAUUUCCUGGAUUAUGGUGUUUGUAAAAAUUUAGGGAAGUAUCAGUCCUUUGUGAUAAAGUAAUACCAGUGACUUUAUCCUGUCCAUUUUUCCCAUUGAAUUUCGUUUUGAGAAUUUUAAACCCUCAAUACUUACGACAUGGAAUUUUUCUGGGUUCUUUUUAAUGUUUACAAGUAUGUUGAUAGUUCCGUUCUUAACCUGUAACUUGGGCAUGUGAUACUGUUACUGUCAUUGGAAUUUAAAGAGCAUUAGUCAUGCGUGUAUGGGGAAAUAUGUUCCGGUAAGCUGUUGUGAAAUUGAAACUGUAAAAACAGGUGGAAAGGAAUCUUUUAUGUUGCUCUGUAUGGUAAGAACCAGUCCUUGUUGCGUCACGUAUGUAACUACUAACACUUUUCUUCCCCUUUACAGCACGAAUAAAGGUUUGCGUUCUAAACUCA